UACGUAGGGACCAAGCGUUGUUCGGAAUUACUGGGCGUAAAGGGCGCGUAGGCGGCCUUCUAAGUCGAACGUGAAAUCCCUGGGCUCAACCCAGGAACUGCGUCCGAUACUGGAAGGCUUGAAUCCGGGAGAGGGAUGCGGAAUUCCAGGUGUAGCGGUGAAAUGCGUAGAGAUCGGGAAGAACAUCAGUGGCGAAGGCGGUCUGCUGGGCCGUUGCUGACGCUGAGGCGUGACAGCGUGGGGAGCAAACAGG
rnacentral:rRNA from 1 species